UCGGUUAUUUGUACAAACUGCAUAUUGCAAUAUAGUAGAGACUUAGAAAUUUGCAAACUGCGUAAUUGCCAAUAUUUUAUGUAAAGCUACAAGUGAUAUGGACAUAAGAAGAAUAAUUACUUUUCGCUUAGGCUGAAUGUUGGAUGGUUUGCAGGACGAAAGAGUUCAUUUAAUUGAUUUUCUCGAACAGAAAUUGGCUACUGACUAGGAAUUGCGAAAUCGCAUUGUUUAAGAAGUUCUCGUUCUACUCCAAGGUCGAUUUUUUCGUUUUUAUUUGUCUUAGAAACAAAUUUCAACUUAUAUUUGCUGUAUAUACUGGUUUUUAAAACUCCAAAACUUGAGAAUGAUGAAUGGAAUCCUUAUUUCGUAUAUAUCCAACAAAAAAAAAGGUUAAAUCACUACUUUGCAUCUUUUGAGUAAUGUCUUAAUUGAACAAUUUUUUAAGUCGCAAAUCUUACAAAGUCACAAUUAAGGAUUGUAUAUCAAUUUGGUAAAACAAUAAAGAGGAUGAUUAAUCUAUAAUUGACAACAGAUUCAUUAGUUAAAUGAAUUUUCCUAGCACCACAAAUACACAUCGUGUUUGCUCUAUAACAGAGACAAAAAUAGUGAUGACUGUCAUCGAAAAUGAUUAAGUGAUGAUGCAUAUAAGAUAAUAAUACAAGGAAUAGAAAUAAAGGAGAAAAGUGACUUUUGCAAGAAAGUAAGAAAAUUAGUGAUGAAAUAAAAAAAACCCUCGCAACUGUUGGCAGCCCCUUGAUUUUUUUCUCUAGCCAUGACUUUUAGUUGCUGCCCGAUUCUACAUCUUUAGAAGUGUUGCAAUCGGUUUCCUCAGCCAUUGUAUUGUCACUUGCUGGCUCUGUGGUAAUUGCUUGGCCUCGCAUAGACGACAUUUCAACGUCGCCAGUCUCUUCAUCUUGUUCUAUUACUUCGAGCCCGAGAAUAAACAACAGUAAGGAUAAAAUAAUAUGAGCCAAACCUUGAAUUGCUUUAGCUACAUAUUUAGCUAGGCCUGCAAUCGCUUUAGCUAGACCUUCAUUCGCUUUAGCUACAGACGGUGCAUAAACAUAAGCUUCUUCAAACGCUAAUUUAAUUAACGAAAAUGAAACUAGAAAAUCGUUAGUCAUGAAUUCAAAUCAUCUCAAAAACUUACAAUAAACAA